rnacentral:tRNA from 1 species
UGGAGGUUUAGCUCAGCUGGGAGAGCGUCUGCCUUACAAGCAGAAUGUCGGCGGUUCGAUCCCGUCAACCUCCAUCCA